rfam:Sorghum bicolor cultivar BTx623 chromosome 10, whole genome shotgun sequence.
GUUGUCAGAUUCACCUUAAUCCACGUGUGUUGGAGUAGAUUGGGUGGAAUUUAGUUCAAUUUCCACUCCAAUCCACCCAACGCACGUGGAUUGAUGCGAAUCCGAAA